ACAGCGAAAAGAUUCACGAGCAACCCGAAGCUCUGCAGCUUUAAGAAGUUUGCACACUUGAGCAGCUGGCAGCGAGCCACUUGGCCAACAUAAACAGCCCUAAUCCUUUUUCCAAGGAGCUUUCAACACUCAUCUCUCUGGCACAACGGCCACUGACUCACCCUCUCCCUCCUUCUCUCUCUCUCUAUCUCUCUCUCCCUCUCUGACAUUCCUGCCUGUUCCGAGGUCUGCAGGACCGUCACCAGGAGGCACUGUGGCCCUUGCUAUGCAAAGGCUGCUGGGUUCAUGCUGUUGGUCACCAUUCACUGCUAAGGCUGCUGAGCUCUGGAGCUGUUGGACAGCGGCCACGCGUUGAUCUCAUUUGGACGGGCUUUUGCCUGGGACGAGUCCAAACCCAAACAGCCGAGGGAAGGACCACAACAGGGUGAAAGUAAUUCUCUUGCAAUCCUGCCACACUGUGCAUGCAGGUUACAGACAUCAAGCAACUUGUAUCGUUCAUGAUGAUCGUUAUUACUUUAUUUAGCUUGUAAUGGUUCAUUUAACUGAUACCCAUAUCUACCCAUAUCUCCCAUGUUUUGCCCCCUCUGCAGUAGUUAUACUGUCAUUUAGCGUUUAACGCCAAAUAAACUGAGUUUAUCUUUGUCAAAAAAAACUCCAGCCCCAAAAAGCCUCUGGUUUGUGUUAUGACGACGCUGCUCUGAGACGAAGCUUGUGUACAACGAAAUCAACGGAAGUUAGCAGCUUUUAAGAAUUGGAUGCAUUCACUGCGUGCAUGUUUCUCAUUAACUACAAUUACAGAAUAAUAAUACUGUACUUUAGUCUGUUGCACACAUUCCAGAUGUGCCGAUUUCAGUCUAUUAACCGAAAUAAGGCAAUUGAAAAACAGCACCAAGCGACACAGGCGUCUCUAUUGUGUUCCUUAGUUAAGCUUACUGUUGUCAUUGCUGUUCCUCGUCCUCGUGGACGGCGUCGCUUCAGUUUUGAUGUUAGUGCAAAUGGAACAUUACAGCAAUCUUUUUCCACUUGCAAAUAUCUUAUUCUGGAUAAUAUUUCAUAGAAGUGUUUAUAUUGGCAUUUUUCAAGAGAAACCUUUCUAUUCCUGCAGUUUAUGGGGGGAAAAUCCCUGAAUGGUGCUGACCUAAGCAGGACGAUUGAGGGCCACUGCUGAUGUGAAUAAUGAAAAAUAUUGCUUCAGGGUAAAGCUGUGGUGUUUGACAGGAGACUGUAAUUUAAAUAGACAGGAUGCACCAAACGGACCUGAGAACCCCACAAUACAAAAGUGAUGCAAAUAUCAUUUUGAUAGAGGUUUUGCGGAAAAUUGAAUAUGUUCAAAUCAAAAAGUGUUUAUCACCAUGGGAACUUGAAUGUACUCGGCAAAUAUCUCAUUAAUCGGCUCGGCGUGGCAUGAAGGUGGGGCUUGAGGAAAGAUCAGGCAGUGUGCAAUUAAAAGGGCUCAUCCUCUGGGGUCAUGAAUAACCUCCGUAGAUCGUACGCUGGCUGUUAUUUAAGUAUCAAAAAGGAAUGUUAGCGGAAAAAAAAGGUUGAGCCUGGUUGUAGAUAAAAGAUCAAACAGCAUCAGGAACUUCAGUUCAGUUCAGUUCAGUUGUUGAUUUAUCUGAUGUGUCUUUUUGCUUGUGAAAGAUGGAAUUGUUCUCAAGGUGCAAUUUGAAAGGAUAGAUGUUUUUACAUUACAAAUCCUGUAGUAAAAUGUUGGAAAUGAAACAAACAAACCACAAAUGUGUUUGUGUCACCCCACGGAAAGCUUGCAAAGCAACCGGUCGCUUUCUUUAUCUGCCAUCUGUUUGGAGGAAGGCAGCCGAAAAUACCAAUUUUGAAUCACGAAGCCAAGUUCACGCUCAACUGGCUGCACGAGGAUAACAUCAGAUGUGCAGUCCUGCAGCUUUAUGGCUUACCGCCUGAUGUGGUUCAGACGCGGUCGCUAUCUUUUGCUGCAUGGAAUACGUACUUAAGGAGGCUUUUAAUUAAUAUUAUUUUUCUCUCAUUAGUGUAAGGUAAUUAUUACUGCUGUCUUAUCAGCCAUUUGUUUUUGAGUGUAGCACACCUCAGUGAGGUUUCCCCAAAGAUCCAAUUAUAACGUUAGCUCCCACUUGGUCAACUAACUACCUAGGAUUUAUGCCAUUCAGGAGUUGAGUCAGUUUUAUGCAUCACAAAUCAGUUGUCCUCAGGAGGCUUUACAAUCUGCACCGAAAACAACACCUUCCACUUGUGAUUUGAAUGAGGAAAAACCGUAAAAUGGAAAUAUUAAAGAUUUUAGUUUAAAUAAAUGUCUUUUAAGCCCCGUAAUUGAGCCUAUUCCAGCGACUCCAUUUCUAGUCAAAUAGAGUCAUAUUUAUAUAUUUUCAGUAUUACAAACUACGUCAACAAUCCCAGAAGAAAAUCUGGGUACACAAUUCUGGAGUUCAGUAUCGCAGAAAGACAGAAGGCUAAACUCAAUUCCAGUGAUUUUACUCAAAUAGGUAAUAUUUUUACAUCCGCCAACUGAGAGCAGCUGAGGAAGAAUCAGCAGCAUCUAGAUUUAGAACAACAAAGCCAUUAAUUAAUGAGGUUUUUGUGUAUUGUGAUAUAUACUUCUUUAUUGCACUUGUUGUGCUUGUUGUUCAGUUAUUUGUGCACAACAUUGAAUACACGUCAACAUAUACUAUGAUGCAACUACAGUACAUCUUUUGUUUUAUUAAACAUUCCUGGUCACACAGUCACACUGUUGACUCGGCGCGCGUGAGUCACUGUUUGCAGAAAUCCUCUCUCUAUUAUUGCCUUCUUCUUUUCCCAGGUGUCUUAUUGAAAGAGGAUCCACAUGCUCGGGGCAAAUCGAAUUUAGUGCUCUGCUGUAGGAAGUGAUUGGCGAUGGAUUAGAUGGUAUUAGGUAACAAAAGACUUGAAUUAACUUGCUGUCAAAUCAAUAACAGUCUCCCUCUCCUCCUCUCUCCAUGGCCCACUCGUUCUGUGUGUAUUUUCCUUACAUACUGUCUACAUAUACAUAGAUAUAGAUAUGUAUGUACAUACAUAGCAGAGGUUCCUAACAUGCAAGAUGACAGUAACCCCUGGUUGCAGGGAUGGAGCUUUAACACACGUUAAUUUCCAUCUCACUGCUACUGUGACUUUAUUUUAAAAGUCACACUACAUCAAAUGAAUUCACUGCAGCCCAGGAUUUUGGUAGCACACUAAACAAGUUCUACCCAUAACCUUGUGUUUACAUUGUGAGUCAGUGUGUGUACCUGCUGUAGGAGGAAUGUGUGUAUCUGUGUGUGAGCCUGUCAUUGUGUAUCAGUGUGCACUCAUAGGUCAGACCUGCUUAUUCUUUCAGCAGCGUGUUUGGUGAGAACACUAAUCUGGAGCUGCCAGAGUUUCUCUGCCGAGCUACAACAUUUAAAUGACCUUGCUACAAAAGUGACUUUCAUGCAAAGGUCCAUCUUGUUUAUUUGAGAAAAAUGUGACAUUCAGGGGUCAUAUGAGGCCUUUUUUAGGAAAAGAGUUGUGAGACUUUAUGUUUUAGUGUCUGAACUUUCUCUAUCCUCUGAGACCAACAAAGGUAGUAAAUUACACAUUCUGCGGGGACUCACAGACACAUCACAAAACCCCAGUUCUCCAAUCAAAAGAACAAAAUGUGCAACUUGGCCACUCAGCAGUGACCAAAGCAAAUGUGUUUUCAGCUAAGCCAUGAGUCUCAGCCAAUCUCAACUCAUCUGGGCCCGUCUCACUGUGAAAAUGACCUUAAUAUGGAGUCAUGAAUCAUUUGAAUCCUUGAAAACUAAUUAAAUAAAUAAUAGUGUGCUCGCAAUUAAUGUUUAAUAGCAACAGGAAGAAAUACAAAAUCAAUGUUUCUGAGAUAUUGAGGACAAUCAAUUAUCACUUGUUGUUGACAAACUCACCCUCUGCACCGUGUGCCACAGGUCAGUUUCAUCAGUAGUUCAUUAGAUGCUCAACAGUAGCAGAGGAGAUUAUGUUUACCAAAUUAUUUGUAUGAACCACGGUUACAAAUGCAAAUAAAAAUGAAGAGAGAAAGAGCA